GACGAACGCUGGCGGCGUGCUUAACACAUGCAAGUCGAACGGAAAGGCCCUGCUUUUGUGGGGUGCUCGAGUGGCGAACGGGUGAGUAACACGUGAGUAACCUGCCCUUGACUUUGGGAUAACUUCAGGAAACUGGGGCUAAUACCGGAUAGGAGCUCCUGCUGCAUGGUGGGGGUUGGAAAGUUUCGGCGGUUGGGGAUGGACUCGCGGCUUAUCAGCUUGUUGGUGGGGUAGUGGCUUACCAAGGCUUUGACGGGUAGCCGGCCUGAGAGGGUGACCGGCCACAUUGGGACUGAGAUACGGCCCAGACUCCUACGGGAGGCAGCAGUGGGGAAUAUUGCACAAUGGGCGGAAGCCUGAUACAGCAACGCCGCGUGCGGGAUGACGGCCUUCGGGUUGUAAACCGCUUUCGCCUGUGACGAAGCGUGAGUGGCGGUAAUGGGUAAAGAAGCACCGGCUAACUACGUG
rnacentral:rRNA from 1 species